rnacentral:rRNA from 1 species
UGCGCAGGCGGUUGUGUAAGACAGAUGUGAAAUGCCCGGGCUUAACCUGGGAACUGCAUUUGUGACUGCACGGCUAGAAUCUAGCAGAGGGGGGUAGAAUUCCACGUGUAGCAGUGAAAUGCGUAGAUAUGUGGAGGAAUACCGAUGGCGAAGGCAGCCCCCUGGGCUAAGAUUGACGCUCAUGCACGAAAGCGUGGGGAGCAAACAGGAUUAGAUACCCUGGUAGUCCACGCCCUAAACGAUGUCUACUAGUUGUCGGGUCUUAAUUGACUUGGUAACGCAGCUAACGCGUGAAGUAGACCGCCUGGGGAGUACGGUCGCAAGAUUAAA